rnacentral:rRNA from 1 species
UACGAAGGGGGCUAGCGUUGCUCGGAAUCACUGGGCGUAAAGGGUGCGUAGGCGGGUCUUUAAGUCAGGGGUGAAAUCCUGGAGCUCAACUCCAGAACUGCCUUUGAUACUGAAGAUCUUGAGUUCGGGAGAGGUGAGUGGAACUGCGAGUGUAGAGGUGAAAUUCGUAGAUAUUCGCAAGAACACCAGUGGCGAAGGCGGCUCACUGGCUCGUAACUGACGCUCAUGCACGACAGCGUGGGGAUCAAACAGG